GUUGUGCCAUACCUGUAGAUUUUAUUGUUGUGGAGGUAGCCAAUCUUUAAAUGGAGCUAGACUAUGCCACAUUCUCGUACCCAGAGCCCGUCUUACACGCGAUCAACAGAGCAUGACAAGGGUAGCAGGUACGAUCGGCAGUGGCACUGAUCAAAAUUUAGCCUUUGAACGACAACAAAAUGCCAAGUGUGCCAAUGUCAUGUUUAUGCGCGUACUCUGGGUAUUUUAGUCUUAACAAGUGCAUGUGUUAUUUAUUUAUAUACAGAAUAUAGAAGUGCAUUCUGAGAGUGCAUUCUUGAAGUUAUUCUAGUUAGACAGUAACUCCGGGCUUAGAUAACAAGCUCCAAAUGAUUUUUGGAAUUAGCAACACAUCAAGUAACUUCAAGCUUACAUACCUAGCGGCUAGGCUUGCUUGCCUCGCUACACAAUACUUUUUGGAGUUAGACAGUAACUCAAGGCUUAGAUACCUAGUUUUUUCAUGAUUUUUGGAGUUAUUCUUAGCACCAAAUGAUUUUUGGAGUUAGCCAGUAACUCCAGGCUUAGAUGCUUAGCUCCUAAAUGAUUUUUGCCAAAUUUGGAGUUAUACCUAGCUCCAAACGAUUUUUGGAGUUUGCCAGUAACUCCACAAUUCAUAUUUCAACUCAUACGUUUUGAAUUACACAAGUUAUUGAAGUGUAUAUUUUGGUUUGGAGUUGGCCCUUUAGACUUUGGAGGUAGCGUCGCUCCACAACUUCCUACUUUCUACAGGCAUGGGUUGUGCAAUACAAACUUUCCACUAUGUUCGCUCCACACAGGACCAAUGUCUAGGUUCCAGAUGCCAACAUUGAAACAGAUGGGGAGAGAAGGUGUAAUAAAUGUAUCAAGAAAUGGUAUAAUACAUACAAUAUUAGCUAGCCUGCUUAGUAGGUGUUUGCCGCAGCAGCCUGCUACAUAGACUAUGGGCUAUCAAAGGUGACAGGUUCAAUUCCAACCAUGGUCAAACAAACCUUUCAGCUUGCCUGAUAUAGACACACUCAGAGUAACACCAUCUUAAAUAAUUUCACCUCUGUACAAACACCACAAUUAUUACAUUCAUGAGCCUACAUUGUUGUCUUUUCAGUACCAUACUGGGUUAGUCACAUAUUUUUCCCUCAUAGACAAUCAGCCGACAUUUCAAGACAAUUCCUGCGCCAGAAAAAGAAACUAUCUCACUCUUCAUUCACAUGGCAAAAACAAGGAAAAGUAAACUUGAUCAAAAAGCAGAUAAUAUUUAAAAUAUCUCGUGUUUCAUACAAUUGUAUAUAAAUUAUUUUAAUAACAUAUAUUAAAGUUAAGAUUUUAGUUCUAGUCUGGGCUGUUUGUAUAAAGAGUGAUAUAAACACUGUAAACCACUGAAUAUAAGCCCCCUUCCCUGAAUAUAAGCCCCACCAUGUAUAAGCCAACCAUAUUCAAAGGUUGUUGACAUAUAAGCCCCCCCAUUUUACAAACGAAUAUAAGUUCAGGGCUUAUAUUCGGAGGUUUAUGGUAUUUCAGG
rnacentral:lncRNA from 1 species